rnacentral:misc_RNA from 1 species
GUUGCCAUUGUUGCCAGAAGAGGUAAACUAUAUAGUAGCAUUUGUUAAUAGAAUUUUGUAAGGAAUUUUUUAUAUCUAUAUGAUUUGAAAGCAAAAUAAACAGGCUUAACAUAAUAUCAUUAUUUAUGUCUAUUGGUAUACAAAUUCUUUGAUUACUUUCCACAUUCAGUGAUCAGCAUAUGUCAAUGUUUCCUUGCACCAUAUACCCUUCAUUGCACCAAAAUUAUUUUUCUUUGUUGCUCCUGGUGCGCCAAAUUUAGUGAAUUUGUUUGGCUUCUUGCUGUUACUUUUUGAAUUCUUGAGCUGUGGAGAUAGCGAGUGUUGAUUGUAAGUUUACCACCCAUUUAAUUAGUAAGAGCUGUAUCUGAUAGGUUACUGGGGUUGAAGCUCUGA